UCUCCUCACUUUAACUUCAGUGUGACACCUCCAUCCCUAUAACCUUUUCUCCAUCUCCCCUCCAUGAACCCUAAUUUUAGAGCUGCCUCCUUCUUCCUAUGACUCAUCUCCUUGCUCUCUUCUCCCGCUAAGAGUUCUUCCUAUUUGUCUUUCGGGUUUACAAGUCAGUGGUGAGCAAUUUUGGUACUUCACCAAAAGUUUCCUCCCCUUCAACCUCAGUAUAGAAAGUCCUUCUCGAUCUCCAAUCUCCUCUUCUUUUAUUCCUCUACAAGUUGGUGCCGAGUGGCGGCAACGGUGCUAGUGGUGGAGGACAUGUGGUGUGAGAAGAUUUAGAUCAAGCAGAUCGAGAAUUCCACGAACAAGCAGGUCACCUUCUCUAAGCACCGCAAUGGGAUCAUUAAGUAGAUGAGAAAGAUCAGCAUCCUCUACGAAGAGCAAGUCUCUGUUGUCAUAUUCUGAAGCUCUGGCAAGAUGUUCGAGUACUACAGCCCCUCCACAAUGUUAUAAUGGUUCAGUGGCAUAUUGGGAGGAUUAUUCUAGAUAUGUUAACGAUGAUGGAAGAGGUGCCUCCACAUGUAAGUUGUAUCAAAGCCCUAUGCUCUCUUGAGCGUCUCAUUUUGAUGAUAGCCUUACUUUAUUAUUGAUCAUUUUUUUUCCAAAUUUGUACUCACAAAUUGUUUUGUAAUUGUAUAUGCAUGUCAAGGUUUUGAUAGCAUUUCUAGUUUUUAGCAGGGGGUUUAUGGAGACAUGUAUCAUCAUGGAUAUGGCUAUGCACAAUAUAGUCCAUAUCCUUCACCUGGUUCACCAGUUCCAACUUUGAGGCACAACAAUCAGUUAUACACAUCCCAACAUUACCAGUUCCAAGCCACAUAUUUCCAACCGCCGCUGCCUACAAAUGCUCCAUACACAAGCCAAAAUCCUAGUUCCAAAGUGAAUAUUUCUACAUCUACUGCAACUGAUGUUGCUCCUACUCCAAUAGAUACAACACAAGCUAGUUCAAAUGGUAUUGCUAAAGAAAGUACAAGUAACAACAACAGAGUUACAAAAAUAAUACAAAGCCAACAUAAUAUUGCAUCAAAUAUAGGUGGUGCAUUUGGUAAAAGCAUUUCAUCUGGUGGACAAUCACCUUCAGGUUAUCAAGACCUAAGAUAUGGGUUUGAUAGCAUGUGGUCACCUAUUUCAUGGUAUGAUGGUUCUAUAUUUGCUGAUGGGCAGUAGAGACACACUACCGCUAAUAAUGCCUCUUCAAUGUCUCCUUAUGUUGCGAAUACUACAUCUAUUAGAAAUCAGAACUUUCAUCCCAUUCCUCAUCUUAUGGUAUGCACAUCACUAAUAGGUUCUAUUAAUUGAGUUGUUUAUUAUGCAUUUAAAUGAACCAGAUUAGUACUUCCUAAUAAUUAAUCUUAGCACUCAUAACAAUCUAGUAGCAAACCAAACACUUGUCACUGAACUUUAACUUGGUGAUAUUUUAGUGCCCUAGGACAUUAUAAUAGAUGAUAUUUUAGUGCCCUAGAAUUUAUAAAAAAAAAAUUCUUCCCAAGUGAUAGCAUUGUUGAAUGAUCCUCCAGAUUUUAUGAUUAACAAACAACUUUAUGGUAAUAAAAAAAAAAGAAAAAGAGGAGAUAAAAACCUUGACAAGGAAAAGGAAAAAAAUAGAUGCUAAUUUAAUAGAAGAUUCAAUAGGCACAUAAUCAAACAAAACGCCAAGAGUUGAAUUUUAUCGGCUCAUCUAAAUUUUAUUCACUUAUCUAUGCCCCUUUAUUUAUAUAGUUAAUUUUUUAUUGAACAAUUUUGUAUGAUUUGGUAUUUUGUUUAUGCAGGUGGUAUGAAGUUUAAGGUAGUCUGGUAACAUACUUCUAAGGGAUGUUAUACUACUGUAGUCCGAUAACAUACUUACAUCUAAAAAUAAAUUGCCAUGAUAUUAAUAUUAUUUCCAUACAAAUGACUCCACUUUAUCUUCAGUUUCUGAGGAGAUUGCCAAGAGUGAAGCCAAUAGUCAUGUUGAGCUAACUGAUUACUCAACCUUGUUUGGGCCAGAACUUAAAUUACCUGAUGACCAAUGGGAUGCUUCUUACUUGAAUGUGUUGGAUGUUGCUGUAAUUGAAGAAGGCAUUCUCCAUGUCCUAUUUGGAUGUGCUUCACAAGUAUGUGUCAUGAAAUUUCUAUUUUUUGUAUUGUUUAAUUAUUUACCCCAAUUAAAGGAGCCUUACCCUAUAUUCAUCCAAAUGAUUUCUUUCCGCAUGAAAUCUAUCUUAUCUAUUAAAUUUUCAAGUGUUUAUAUCCUUUUUAUAAAAAAUAUUCAGCCUCUCCUAUGUUGCAAAUUGGCAAAUAGUAAUUCAAAAUUUGACCCUAUUUUAACACUGAUACAAGCUCUACUUCCAGGUGAAAUCAUUAUAUGUUUUUCAUACAUUUGGGUUUGUUGCUUUCUUUCUUUAAAUUAGAUUUUUUUUUGUCUUUGAUCUGACAACACACUUCACCCUCCAAUCACCUGCCCCCUUGAUCGAGUUGAUGAUAGUUUUUCACAGUGGAAACAUCCUUCUGUGCAUUGCACUCUUUCUCAAGUUCAUAAAUUUUGCAUUUUCAUGGUAUAUAAAAAAUGUGUUUAUUUUUUCCCUAAACUAUCAAUAUCUUACUACUAAUUGUUACUAUGGGUAAUGACUAUGUCAUCGUCAUCAGUAUAUCAUCCUCUUCUUCAUGCUUGUGUGAGAUAUCUGUCUUCUUUUCUAUCAUCUCAUGUUUGUUUGUUUCUAUCAAAUUUGCAUUAUAAAUAAAGCUAUCUAAGCAUGCCAUUUAUUUUCAAAUUAUUAGGCAACAACAGCUUGUGUGCUUAUUAAUCUAUGUUCUGGGCCUUUAUCACCAAAGAUACCUACAAUUACAAAGGUUUUGUUAUAGUUCCCCAUCAUGAGUCUCCAUCUUAUAUGAAUCAAUUCAGUUAUGUAACUACUACCACCCCCUUUUUUCAAGUUGAUAUUGCAAUUGAACUCAUAGAGGGCCUCUUGGGUGUUAUUCAAGUAAGUUCAUUUUGUUAAUUUCUUACCACAACAUCUUAUCACUCUGACACUUCCCAACUUUUCCCCCAAAUCAUCUACCAUCUACCGAAUUUUUGAAACAAAUAAUAUUAUAUUCUUCCUUCAUGCACAUGAAAGAUUUCUAAUCCUGUUUGUUUUAUGUUAUUUCCAUUAGACUUGCUUAUUGCCAUGCUUCAUAGUUAGUCUGACUCUAUCCUCAAUCUCCCUAUCAGAAUGCUCCCCAAUCUCUUGUCCGUGCACACUGUGCACUGAAGUAUAUCUUGUUGGCCAUCUUUGCACAUGUGGAUGAUGUGCUAGCAAAAUAUAAGGUUUGACUUUCUGAUAAAGGGUUGAUUCACAGAUUAAGCAUAGCUUUUAAAUUUGAGUUUAUAGUUAUAUUAAUGAUUCUUCUAGCAUCUGAGAGAUGUUAUACCACUACAGCCCUAUAACAUACUUCUAUCUUCUUUUUUUGGUAUUUUUAUUAAUUUUUCUAGUUUAUUAUAACUCGUAUGCACCUAAUAUAGCUUUUAUCUUAAAGGAAAAGUGUAUUAACUAGUUUUUAUGCCUCUCGUAUCUUUUAGUUCCAUCUAUUAUUGCAACACUUGGCAAAAGCUACUAGAGUGGAUAAUAUUUGUUCCUCUUUGGCUAUUUCAUGAUGUUACAGCACAAGGGAGGUUCUCCUUACCUACUCCGUCAUUGUCUCAUGAUUGCCAUGUAUGAUUUAACUUCUAAUGUCUAUUCAAGCAAAUGUUUUUUUCUGUUUUUUACGGUGUGGCUUGUAAUAAUUCAAUUUAGUAACCUGGCCUGAUAUACUUCUUUUUAUACAGUGGGCACCUUGUCAUGCUAUUGUUGAAAUACCUUUAUUUAUUGCCAUUGAACUACUUCUUUGUAUAUAUCUUCACAAUAUAAGUGGUAAGACACAAUUGGUUAAUAGUCAAUUUAUAUGAACUCUACUCAUAGUUUUAAUUUGGAAUCGCAUACAGUUAAUGCUGGACGUUAUAUCAACCUAAAGGUUGUGUUCCUUCCACUUUUGGCCUUUGAGAUAACCAUUCUUGUUGAUAAUUUUAGGAAUAAAUAUAUUUAUAUUUGUAUUUAUGCUAUCUUAGAGGGAAAUAGCAGGUAAAUAUAUAUUUAUGCUAUCUUAGAGGGAAAUAGCAGGUAAAUAUAUUUAUGUUUGUAUUUAUGAUUGCACCUUAAAUCCAGCUCAGAAUUUGCUAUUCAAAAGAUAACAUAUUUUGUGUAUUAGUGUAUGACAGAUAUAAAACUCAUGGUUGCAUAUAAUAAAGAUUAUGAUUAGUUGUUGCUGGUUAAGUUCCUCAAGUUGAAGCAUGGUUGAAAAAAAGAACGGUCUUGAUAUGGAGGAAAAUCAUUGGAGAUUAGCAUGGAUACUUGCACCACCACCAGGUCAAACCUUUGAUGGAGUAGAAGAGACAAAGUUUCCAACUAGUCAUCCUUUGGAGAACUCUGAAACUGAGAAGUUCCAUUAAUUGCUAACUUCAAGAGAGGCUGAAUCUACUAGACUUGAGAAACGAUAAGUAUUGUAUACAAUUGUGUGUGUAUAUAUGUUUGCAAGAAAUGAUCAUUUAAAAUGGGAUGAUAUAUAUAUAUGUUUGUCGACAAUGGUUUAUUAUAUAUAUGUUUGUAGAUAAUGAUUUAUCA